UGGAUGGGGGUAAAAGCUCGUCUGCCAGAGGUUUAACCAAAACUCUAACUUAAAAACUUGAUUUUUUAAAUUGUCAUUUUUGAAAUUUGUCUGAUUAACUUCGGAUGAAACAAAUAUUCAAAACUUUCAACAACGGAUCUCUUGGUUCUCGCAUCGAUGAAGAACGCAGCGAAUUGCGAUAAGUAUUGUGAAUUGCAGAAUUUCGUGAAUCAUCGAAUCUUUGAACGCACAUUGCACCCUGUGGUAUUCCACAGGGUAUGCCUGUUUGAGCGACAUUUCUCUCUCAAAACGCAAGUUUUGGUGUUGAGUGAUACUCGGGUUAAAUGGCUUGAGUUUGCUUGAAAAGUAUUGGCAAGGGAAGUGAGACUUCACUACAGCUGUUUAUUCAAUGUAUUAGGUUUAUCCAACUCGUUGAUUGACAGGUGGAAUGAGAUUUUGCUAAUAAGCCCGGCCUUACAACAAACAAACCCAAGUUUGACCUCAAAUCGGGUAAGAUUACCCGCUGAACUU
rnacentral:rRNA from 1 species